rnacentral:rRNA from 1 species
AUGAUUCUCGAUGUCGCGUCCCGCGGACUCUUACAACAUCCCAUCAUCCCCAACUCCCCUUGUCCCGUUCUGCAGUAUGUUGACGAUACCCUAAUUAUCCUCAAGGCCGACGAGAACCACCUUGCAAACCUUAAGUCUGUACUUCAUGACUUCUCUCUAGCCACUGGGCUCCAAAUCAACUACGGUAAAAGCACAUUCGCCCCGAUCCAUGUCGAUCCCCACGUUGCCGCCCGUAUGGCCAACAUGUUGGGUUGCCCGGUGGCCUCCUUCCCCCAAAAGUAUCUCGGCCUUCCCCUGUCCACCCACAAACUUCGCCUAUUGGACUUUCAGCCUCUCAUCGCUAAGGUCGACAAGCGGCUCGCAGGCUGGCGUGGCCACCUUCUGUCCGCGGCAGGCCGGGCGGUCUUG